rnacentral:lncRNA from 1 species
CUAGGACAGAUCAUAGCUAGCAUAGAUACAGUAAUAAUCCUAACAAUGCAACUAAUAAAAUGUAGUGCACAAUAAAAUAAUGGGUAAAUGAUCAAAGUGAACUUGCCUUUGUCGCGGUAGUUUGAAUUCAAACACUCCUCACACUCGCAAAGUUCGCUCUCCGAGAAAACUAUACGAGACAAACAAACAUACACAUACAUAAACACACAAUUCACAUCACGACAAAUUAAGAUAUGCUAUGAUGCAAUGCAACAUGUGACAUGAUUUGGUUUAUUUUAUUUGGGUGAUCCACUGAUCCAAGGCCUUGAGAAUUAAGCACAUGCAAUUAGGGUUUUAAACAAAAAGCAAAAGCUAGUUCUCAAACCCUAAAAUGAGAUUUUAUUUGCAUCUGCAAGGCAAUUUAAUUCAAAAUAUUUAUUUCUCUGUCCCUUUGGACAGAGGACAAUAAAACAAAAUUUUGGGCACUGGUUUCAUUCAAAAAGGACUUCUAGAUAAUUAGUUAUGAUUUAAAUGGCAUAAAACCCUAAUCUGUAAUUUGAAUGUGAUUCAAAAAUUCAAAUUUGAAAAAGAACAGUGCCAAAAGAUUCUACAUUUCCUAAGAAUUCCAAAAAGGUGUGGGUCGUGAAUUUUGGACAAGUGGUUUAAAAGUUAUGACGGUUUGAAACACUGGGGGCUUUUCUGCAAAUGUGCACUUUUAUUUCGGCCGAAAAAUAAAACAAAAACUAAAAGGAAAAAAAAUGAACCUGCCACGUGGCGGCGCGGCACUGGCUGGCGCCUAGGGCUUUACCCCGGGUGGCGCGGGCUCGCCGGACGGCGG